ensembl:snRNA
ACCAUCCUUUUCUUGGGGUUGCACUACUGUCCAGUGAGCAUAGUGUGGGCAGUACUGCUAACGCCUAAACAACACACUCACAUCAACUAAAGCCCUGCUUUAUGCUGGUGCAAUUUUUGGAAAA